rnacentral:rRNA from 1 species
AUUGAACGCUGGCGGCAUGCUUUACACAUGCAAGUCGAACGGUAACAGGCCGCAAGGUGCUGACGAGUGGCGAACGGGUGAGUAAUGCAUCGGAACGUGCCCAGUCGUGGGGGAUAACGCAGCGAAAGCUGCGCUAAUACCGCAUACGAUCUGUGGAUGAAAGCGGGGGACCGUAAGGCCUCGCGCGAUUGGAGCGGCCGAUGUCAGAUUAGGUAGUUGGUGGGGUAAAGGCUCACCAAGCCAACGAUCUGUAGCUGGUCUGAGAGGACGACCAGCCACACUGGGACUGAGACACGGCCCAGACUCCUACGGGAGGCAGCAGUGGGGAAUUUUGGACAAUGGGCGCAAGCCUGAUCCAGCAAUGCCGCGUGCAGGAAGAAGGCCUUCGGGUUGUAAACUGCUUUUGUACGGAACGAAACGGUCCUGGUUAAUACCUGGGGCUAAUGACGGUACCGUAAGAAUAAGCACCGGCUAACUACGUGCCAGCAGCCGCCGCCGUAA